rnacentral:rRNA from 1 species
UACGUGGGGGGUAAGCGUUGUUCGGAAUUACUGGGCGUAAAGGGCUCGUAGGCGGCCCACUAAGUCAUCCGUGAAAUCCCUCAGCUUAACUGGGGAACUGCGUGUGAUACUGGAUGGCUUGGAUUUGGGAGAGGGAUGCGGAAUUCCAGGUGUAGCGGUGAAAUGCGUAGAUAUCUGGAGGAACACCGGUGGCGAAGGCGGCAUCCUGGACCAAUAUUGACGCUGAGGAGCGAAAGCCAGGGGAGCAAACGGG